CGUGAGGGAAAGGUGAAAAGAACCCCGGGAGGGGAGUGAAAUAGAACUGAAACCGUAGACUUACAAGCAGUCAAAGCCAUGAUUAUUCAUGGUGAUGGCGUGCCUUUUGUAUAAUGAACCUGCGAGUUACCAUGGCUAGCAAGGUUAAGGCAUAGUAGUGCUGGAGCCUUAGCGAAAGCGAGUCUUAAAAGGGCGAUUUAGUUAGUUGUGGUAGACCCGAACCCGAGUGAUCUAUUUAUGGCCAG
rnacentral:rRNA from 1 species